UAUUGGGACUCAGACCUGGGGUGGGGACCCAAGGAAUUGCUUGCACCACUGGUGCUCCCACACUGGAAGCUCCAAGGAGGAGGCACAAUUCAGCUUUGCAGCACACGCUGCAGAACUGGAGAACUGAGGUUUCCAUCCUCAUGAGAAUAGCCAGGAGGCUUGUUGUUCUGGCUCAUUGUCUUGGGGGGGCCAGUCCUUUCCAGUCCUCUGAGGUCAUGGUGAUGCAGGAGGAUGGUUUCUAAGCAGGCUUAGGUGAUGCAGGAUGAUGAUUUUUCAUCAUAGCUUGCUAGAAUAUGUUUCUUUGUCCUUUUAUUCCUUUGUUAACUCAUUGUUUUGGUGUCUUGAAUGCCUUAGUCUGCUUGGUCACACAGCCCCCUGGGAGUUGCUUUGUUACAUCGUGGCACAGCCCCCAUGGGAGCAGCUUUGUUCCUUAGUAACAGGGAAGUAAGGGAAAGGGGUAGAGGUAUGUCUGUCCUACAAGAACUCUUAAAACACUUCAACAAUUGGCAAUCUCACCUCUGUCCUGCAGCAUCACAGUGAAGUUAGAGUAACUCACUGACUAAAGGUUAACAGAACUUUGCCUGUAGCAGCAGCUUGUGGACAUGUGCACUGUUUGCCACAUUAGAAGUGAUACUCUGACUCCAGGGAAACCAAAAGCAGCAUGUGCCACUGCCUGUUUGGAGUCAUGUGGUACUGACUGCUCUCAGAUAUGUUUGUUCCAUACCAGCUGGCAAUCAAACAGGACAGUGUGACUGGAAGUGGCCAGUGGAUUCAGAACCUGUAGGGGAGCAUGCAAGCGAGGGAGGAAGGAAUUAACUACCAGCACUUGCUAUGUGAUGACUGUGCAGCACAAUUGGCUGGAAAAUUUCACAUCUUCCAAAAAAUACUACCCCAACAUGUUGGUCUUGUGUGCACUUUUGCCAGCAAGGGGGUGUGAAGGAAGAUACCUCUCAUGGGAUGGAUGUGCCACACAAAUUCAUGGCCAGCUGGAAAUGGUCAGGUUCUAAUACCAUGAAGAUGUGAAGAAUUUGUAGAAAACUUUGGGCUUGUCAAUAUGGCACUUAUCAUCAGCCCUACAAGAACUUGAAAGUAAGCACAUCCAUUGAAGAAAUGAACAAGAUAUAACAGUUGCAUGUGACAUUUGAGUGAAAAGUUUUGUUCUGUUUCUGAGCUUUUAAUGCACAGAACAUGCAGAAGGAUCUGCCUGGAAUUGCUUAGCUCUCAAAUGCUGUUAGUUGGACAUUGGCAAGCACAAAAAGUGCUGGAAUCAGAGAGCCUGCUACUAUGAGAUGAUGUGUGAGAAGCAGUACAGGAUGAAAAAGGGGAUCCACAGCAGCUGAGGUAGCCCUGAGGAGGAGGCUUUUCAGGGAGCUUGUUUGGUUUGAGAGGUCCUUGGGCACCU